rnacentral:rRNA from 1 species
CCUAGUACGGCGAGUGAGCGGGAACAGCUCAAAUUUGAAAUCUGGCCCUUGGGUCCGAGUUGUAAUUUGCAGAGGAUGCUUUUGGUGCGGUGCCUUCCGAGUUCCCUGGAACGGGACGCCUUAGAGGGUGAGAGCCCCGUACGGUUGGCCACCAAGCCUGUGUAAAGCUCCUUCGACGAGUCGAGUAGUUUGGGAAUGCUGCUCAAAAUGGGAGGUAUAUUUCUUCUAAAGCUAAAUACUGGCCAGAGACCGAUAGCGCACAAGUAGAGUGAUCGAAAGAUGAAAAGCACUUUGAAAAGAGGGUUAAAUAGCACGUGAAAUUGUUGAAAGGGAAGGAUUUAUGACCAGACUUUUUCUAGGGGGAUCAUCCGGUGUUCUCACCGGUGCACUUCCCCUAGUUGAGGCCAGCAUCGGUUUCUGUCGGGGGAUAAAAGCUUCGGGAAUGUGGCUCCCUCCGGGGAGUGUUAUAGCCCGUUGCAUAAUACCCUGACGGGGACCGAGGUUCGCGCAUUGCAAGGAUGCUGGCGUAAUGGUUAUUAAUCACCCGUCUUGAACC